rnacentral:misc_RNA from 1 species
GUCAGAAGUGACGGUAAUUUUACUCUUCUCGCGAGUAACAGAGACGGCAUCGCCAAGAGCUCCAGCCUUGCCUCCGACUUUAAUCCUUUCGAGAAGAAACUUCUCCAAAGAAGCAAUGUCCAUAAUCUUAUCUUCCACCGGCUUCGAACAGUCGAUUGUGAAGGUUACUCCCUUCUUCUUGCCCUUGGGACCGGCUGCACCUCCUCGACUCAUUUUCGAUCAAAAAUCAGUUGCUGUAGAGAAGUUGAGGAUUCAGA